UCUAAUGUUAGAUAUUCUCCAUUCUCCUUUCACACGUAUGUCUCCAUCCAUUUUCUUUAUGAGUUUAUUAUGCUCGAUAAUUUAUUCAUUUUUCAUUUGAAUUAUUCAAUCACGAUUUUUGUUGAACUUGGGAUUUUUUUUUUUUGCAGGUUUGAGCAGUGAUACUAAAGUUUCGUAGUUGAUGAUGCAAAGAACAAGAAUAAAGACCUCUAGCUUUCUCACUGCAUCUAUGGCAAUUAGUGGACAAUCUUUCGAGACAAUGAAUUCAAAUCACAGCCAUAAAAGGGGAAAAAGAGGGUUGAAGAAAAGCAAAGGUGAAGAGAUACAACGUGUCUUAGUAGUUGAUGACCCGUUGUAAGUUCGUUAUUCUUUUGAUAUGCGAUGAAAACAAUUAUUCAGGGAAUUCAUGAAAUGGAUACAUAACAUGACUUAUUAAUUACUUGAACUUUGGGUUGGA